ACAAAAAGCUUUCAUAAUUUCAAAUUUAGUAUGUUUGAAAUAUUUCAUGAUAAAAUUUGUUUGAACAUCCCCCAUCUGGACUAUUAUGCAGACAUUUAAAAUUAUAUUUAUAGGUCUUGAUUAUAUUAUUAUACCAUUCUCUUUACAUUUUUUAUGUUUGAGAUUUUCACAAUAAAUUUUUAAAAAAUAUGUGGUUACCAAAUCUAUAUAAGAACAUAAAGAAGUUUAUAAUGUUAGGUGAAAAAGCGUGUAGUAAUUGUGAGUAAUGCUCACUUAUGUUUCCAGUCCUUCCUAAGCACUUCCUUAGAGUUAGGCAUGGCCCUAUGACUUGCUUUGCUCAAUUAAAAGUGAGUGGAAAUGAUGUAUGUUGCUUCCAGAUGGAAGUCUUUAACAGCCAUAGUAUUAUUCACCGUUUUUUCUCUCCCCUUUUACAGGACUGAUGAUGUUCAGAUGGUCAACACUCCAUCAGCCUGAGUCCCAGAGUCAGUACCAGAUGGUGCAGAGGCCCUAAUGACCUGAGAUGGGCAUGUAACACAAGUGGGAAAUCAACCUUUACUCUUCUAAGCCACUGAGGUUUGUGGGUUGUUUGUUGCUGCAGCAUAAAAUAACCCAUUCUGACUGAUACAAAGCAGGAGGGAGCUCCUGGCAGUAUAGAUAACUAGAUACUUUGAAGGCCUUCCAACUACAGAAGAACUGGAUCACUUUGUAAAUGCACGACUUGGCUUGUAAGUUGAAGGAAAUUGUCUAGGGAUAGCCCUUCUCCCAAAAAGUGAACUAAAACCACAACUUGGAGCCAAGAGUACUAAGAAGAUAAGAAAAUUGGGUUGUCCUAAGGGCCAGUGCCUUAUUAGCCCUGUGUGAAGCUCCAUCGCAUCAGAAGGUGGGGACACCAAGGUUCUGAGACUUCUGCAUUAGGCCAGGACACUCCGAGAGGGAAAAGCCUCUCAGCUCUCGUGGGAACCUAAGUGCUGUCAGGAAAUACGAGGGGCAGAACUACGCUCACACUUAACUGCCGUUGGCGCAGCUUCUCUGGAGAAGAAUGGGAGGGGAGAAGAAAGGCCACUCCAGGAAGAAAGGGUGGAAGAGGAGCUCCCAGGCCUGGCUUAUGAGUGUGGCCUUGAACACGUCCACAGACGUGUUGUUGUCCUGUUGAGUCUGCAGCCAGGAAGGCGGAACUCACUGCAGAGGGCAGGUGUGAACGUGCCACUUCAGAGCCAGUGCUCUUUGAAGACGGAAAGUCAAGGACCCCAGUCCCUUCCAGGAAACAAGGACAUAAUUAUCACAACACCCAACUGGCCGGUGACCUUCAUUCCUCAGGCCCGCCCUACUCCCUCUGCUGGCACCAGCCCAGGUCCCCACAGCCUGAGCCCUGUGUCCAGACUGCUGAGAUCCAGAAGCAGCCCCCUUGCACACCCUUUGAAAGGGUUCUUAAUCUCUUUCUACUACGCUGCUCUCCCAACAUAAAUCCGCCAGCCUAGGGGCCUCUGAACCCCCGCGAAGGGAGGCCCAUCCAGGCCAGAAGUCUGAGCCGCGGAGGCGUGGAAUUUAUGCUUCCUCUCACCUGCGUGUCUGUCUGUGGCCCCGACUCCAGUCUGUUGUUGGAGGUUUGAACAUAACCUCCCAGCUCCUUGCCAAGUCUGCCAUCAUCACCUCAGCCACAGAAGCUGACUCCUCAAGGCCACUGGAAGCCACUUCAUUAUUAUGUUUGAAAUGUUGAAAGCAGGAGCCUAAUAAAAUGAGUUCAGAAAAACA
rnacentral:lncRNA from 1 species